ACUCCUACGGGAGGCAGCAGUAGGGAAUUUUCCGCAAUGGACGAAAGUCUGACGGAGCAAUGCCGCGUGAGUGAUGAAGGUUUUCGAAUCGUAAAGCUCUGUUGUAAGGGAAGAAUAGCAAGAAUAGGAAAUGAUUCUUGUCUGACGGUACCUUACCAGAAAGCCACGGCUAACUACGUGCCAGCAGCCGCGGUAAUACGUAGGUGGCAAGCGUUAUCCGGAUUUAUUGGGUUUAAAGGGUCCGUAGGCGGAUUAAUAAGUCAGUGGUGAAAUCCCAUCGCUUAACGAUGGAACUGCCAUUGAUACUGUUAGUCUUGAAUGAGGGUGCAGUGGUUGGAAUGUGUAGUGUAGCGGUGAAAUGCAUAGAUAUUACACAGAACACCGAUUGCGAAGGCAGAUCACUAACCCUAAAUUGACGCUGAGGGACGAAAGCGUGGGGAGCGAACAGGAUUAGAUACCCUGGUAGGCUCU
rnacentral:rRNA from 1 species